rnacentral:rRNA from 1 species
UACAGAGGAGCCAAGCGUUGUCCGGAUUGACUGGGCGUAAAGCGCACGCAGGCGGUCGGGCGCGUGGGGUGUGAAAUCUGGCCGCUUAACGGCCAGGCGCCAUCCCAUACGGCUCGACUGGAGUGAUGCAGAGGUCGAUGGAAUUGCCGGUGUAGUGGUGAAAUGCGUAGAGAUCGGGAGGAAGCCGGUGGCGAAGGCGGCGCUCUGGAACAUUUCUGACGCUGAGGCUCGAAAGCGUGGGGAGCAAACAGG